rnacentral:rRNA from 1 species
UACGUAGGUGACAAGCGUUGUCCGGAUUUACUGGGCGUAAAGGGCGCGUAGGCGGCCAGCACAAGUCAGUUGUGAAAUCUCCGGGCUUAACUCGGAAAGGUCAACUGAUACUGUGCGGCUAGAGUGCAGAAGGGGCAACUGGAAUUCUCGGUGUAGCGGUGAAAUGCGUAGAUAUCGAGAGGAACACCUGCGGCGAAGGCGGGUUGCUGGGCUGACACUGACGCUGAUGCGCGAAAGCCAGGGGAGCGAACGGG